UGACGAAGGGGGCUAGCGUUGCUCGGAAUGACUGGGCGUAAAGGGCGCGUAGGCGGACAGUUAAGUCAGAGGCUGAAAGCCCAGGGCUCAACCCUGGAAUAGCCUUCGAUACUGGAUGUCUUGAGUUCGGGAGAGGUGAGUGGAACUCCGAGUGUAGAGGUGAAAUGCGUAGAUAUCGGGAGGAACACCGGUGGCGAAGGCGGCCAGCUGGCUCUGACCUGACGCUGAGGCGGCGAAAGGCG
rnacentral:rRNA from 1 species